rnacentral:lncRNA from 1 species
UUCUGCCUCCGAGGAGUCCCUUACUGAUGAUCAUAGGCUCCUCAAGGUCAUCAGCCAGGGCAGCUUUGCAGAAGUCAAGGCAGCUGGCCCAGCACAUUCUCACUGGGACCAAGAUGGCUGUGGAGGUCACCCCAACAGGGCAGCAGGGCUCCUGCAGCCCCCAGGGUCUGUACUGCAGGGACCAUAUGAUGAAGGCCCUUAAUCACCCGAAGAUCAUCAGACCCACGUGGCUGGCACCGAGAACAGGCUGUUCCUAGUCAUGGAUUAAGCCAGCUCGGGAGAGCUAUCCGACUUCACCCUCGAAUUCUUCUUGAAGGGGGAAGAGGCCUGAGGCAAGUUCCAGCAAAUAGGAUAUUCCAUGCAGUGAGGCUUCCAGAAGGAAAUUAUCCACAGGGAUCUGAAGUCAGAGAACUUCCCUGAGGAGGCUCAGCACGACAUGGAAACAACAGACGCUGGCUUUGAUACCAGAUUCACCGUAGGCUGAAAGCUGAUCCCCUUCGGUGGGAGCUCCUCUUAUACAGCCUCAGAACUGUUCCCCGGGACAAAAGUACGAUGUACCCUGGUGGGCGUGUGGAGCCUGGGAGCCACUGUCUACACCAUGGUGGCCGAGGACUGCCAUCUGUUGGGCAGACUUUUGUGGGGCUGAGGACGACACUAAUACUGUGUGAAUGGUGACAGGCGAUCCCAUUCCUUGUUUCCAUAGAACGAGAAUGCCUCAUAAACACAAUUCUGGCCGUUGACUCCAGGGAGAGGCCCUCACUAGCCCUCAUCAUGGGGCGCCUAUGGAUUAACAUGGGCCAGGAGGAGACGCUAACUAAGGCCAUACUGGGAGCUGCUCCCCGAUCACCCGGAGUCUGGAAAGCGCUCCUGGUGUCCCCGGGAGAUGAGGCAGACCAUGUCCCAUCGUUGUUGAAAAAAUAUGUGAUGAUACCAUGGCCGGCUAUCAGAUCCUGGGCUGCAGGAAACCCGAGGUGUGGGGCGCCAUCAUCACAGUGAAGCUCCUGCCUUCAGCAGAUCCUACUACUUGCCGCCAUUCUCCCCCAUCACAUGAAAAAAACUCCUC